rnacentral:lncRNA from 1 species
AACAAGCGGGGUCCAGUGGAGAAAGGUGAGGCAUGGGAAGGCCUGGCCCGAGCACUGUGACUUCAGCGAGGCACCCUCCACCCCUCUCAGCUUAGGGGCUGACCUCCCAGGUGAUUCCCAGAGCCAGACCACAAUUCCAGAAUUCAGUGAAAACAGCGCCAAAUCCUAUUCCCUCCCGAUCCCACCCUGAUCCCUGCCUCUGGUAAACCGGUAAGUCUUGUUUUCCCCACCACCACCUCCCACUCACCACCUUCCUAAAGCGAUCUGUGCCAUCAGCCCCUACUGUGAGU